rnacentral:rRNA from 1 species
AUUGAACGCUGGCGGCAGGCUUAACACAUGCAAGUCGAGCGGAGAUGAGGUGCUUGCACCUUAUCUUAGCGGCGGACGGGUGAGUAAUGCUUAGGAAUCUGCCUAUUAGUGGGGGACAACAUUCCGAAAGGAAUGCUAAUACCGCAUACGUCCUACGGGAGAAAGCAGGGGAUCUUCGGACCUUGCGCUAAUAGAUGAGCCUAAGUCGGAUUAGCUAGGUGGUGGGGUAAAGGCCUACCAAGGCGACGAUCUGUAGCGGGUCUGAGAGGAUGAUCCGCCGAACUGGGACUGAGACACGGCCCAGACUCCUACGGGAGGCAGCAGUGGGGAAUAUUGGACAAUGGGGGGAACCCUGAUCCAGCCAUGCCGCGUGUGUGAAGAAGGCCUUAUGGUUGUAAAGCACUUUAAGCGAGGAGGAGGCUACUGAGACUAAUACUCUUGGAUAGUGGACGUUACUCGCAGAAUAAGCACCGGCUAACUCUGUGCCAGCAGCCGCCGUAAAAC